rnacentral:rRNA from 1 species
CGCUGGCGGCGUGCCUAACACAUGCAAGUCGAACGAAGCUUGAGAACAGAAUUCUUCGGGAAUGACGUUUGAUAUGACUGAGUGGCGGACGGGUGAGUAACGCGUGAGCAACCUGCCCUUCGGAGGGGGAUAGUGUCUGGAAACGGACAGUAAUACCGCAUAAUGUUGGAUGAUGGCAUCUUCAUUCAACCAAAGAUUUAUCGCCGAAGGAUGGGCUCGCGUCUGAUUAGAUAGUUGGUGGGGUAACGGCCUACCAAGUCGACGAUCAGUAGCCGGACUGAGAGGUUGAACGGCCACAUUGGGACUGAGACACGGCCCAGACUCCUACGGGAGGCAGCAGUGGGGAAUAUUGCACAAUGGGCGCAAGCCUGAUGCAGCAACGCCGCGUGGAGGAAGACGGUUUUCGGAUUGUAAACUCCUGUUCUUAGGGAAGAAGACAGUGACGGUACCUAAGGAGCAAGCCACGGCUAACUACGUGCC